rnacentral:misc_RNA from 1 species
AACAAAAAAAGAAAAAAAAUUCUUUUCAACUUUUAUUCAAGUUUUUAGCUUUAGAAUCUUUUCAUAUAUCUAAUUUAAUCUAAUAUGUAUUAAGCUUCGAGCAGAUAACACAUGACAUUCUCUCCUUCAAGCUUUUGUCUACAUGGUCUUUUCAAAUUACUUAUGAAUGAUCAUGCUAAUUAACUUAUUAAAAAAAUUUUAUAUAGCAAAUUUCACCAUAUGUUGAUGAUGAUUUUUAAUUAAGGUAUAUUGAGUA